CCUACGGGUGGCUGCAGUGGGGAAUAUUGGGCAAUGGGGGGAACCCUGAUCCAGCCAUGCCGCGUGUGUGAAGAAGGCCCUCGGGUUGUAAAGCACUUUCAGUGAGGAAGAACGCCUGGUGGUUAAUACCCAUCAGGAAAGACAUCACUCACAGAAGAAGCACCGGCUAACUCCGUGCCAGCAGCCGCGGUAAUACGGAGGGUGCGAGCGUUAAUCGGAAUUACUGGGCGUAAAGCGCGCGUAGGUGGCUUGAUAAGCCGGUUGUGAAAGCCCCGGGCUCAACCUGGGAACGGCAUCCGGAACUGUCAAGCUAGAGUGCAGGAGAGGAAGGUAGAAUUCCCGGUGUAGCGGUGAAAUGCGUAGAGAUCGGGAGGAAUACCAGUGGCGAAGGCGGCCUUCUGGACUGACACUGACACUGAGGUGCGAAAGCGUGGGUAGCAAACAGGAUUAGAUACCCGUGUAGUC
rnacentral:rRNA from 1 species